CUAAGGGGCCUGACCCCCCAACCUCCAACAGGCCAAAAGAACCCCCUCUCCCAGGGAGUCUCAGACACCCAGUAACUUCACAUCGUCCUCGGAUUUGCCCACCACCAAGUCAACCCAACUUGUAGUUCAAGCAUCACACCCAGAGCCUAUGAAAAAAAGACAGCAAGACGGCCCAGCCUGUGAGGGCGCCAUGGGGUGGCCCAGAAACUGGAGUCCCUGGGAGGUGAUUAUUAAGAGGCAAGACAAGGAGAUGAAUUAUGGAGAAAGGAGGCUGCAGCUUCUUCAUAAAAAUCCCGGUGCCUGGCAAUUACGAGGAGGAAACCACAGAGCAGCCUCUCAUCUUGCCGGGCAUCCUGCUUGCCAGGCCCCCGGGCACCGGGCACCGAGGUCAGACCCGCCCGUUUCUUCGGUUUCUCUGAGGACGUUCUGGGGGUUCGGCUCCGGGCCUGCCCCGAGCAGCGGUGAUGCUGGGAUGGUCGGUCGUCGUUUCCGCAGUGAUGGAAGCCCACCAGGCUCCCCUGUCCCUGAGAUUCUCCAGGCAAGAACGCUGGAGUGGGUUGCCAUUUCCUUCUCCAACACAAGCUGUGCAGCAUGGCCAAAAAAAAAAAAAGAAAAGAGAUCGAGAGACAAAGGUGGAAAGGCACUCAGAACUCCGUGACAUCUAAGGUGAAGAUGGGAACAAAGACUUCCGUCUGGGAGGCCAGCAUGGCAGCUGCGUGCACGACCAGCAGGACAGCCGUGGCCUUGCGGGACAGCAUUCUGGAGCUGGACAAUGACAGGGAGCCUCUGUCACCCAGUGUGGGGCUCAGGGACAAACCACUGCAUUGGAGGCAGGCGCCCUCAGCUCUGGUCCACGCCCCACCUGGGGCUGUGUGAUCUUGGGCAAGCUGCUUACCCUCUCUGGAUUUGGGCCUGGUGUGGGGCUGUACCAGAGGAGCUCAGAGCCCCUUCUCUGCCCCAAGCCCCUGAGAGAGGCGGCCCUGCCCCUUGCCCACACC